rnacentral:tRNA from 1 species
GCACGAGUGGCGAAAAGGCAGACGCGCCGGGUUUAGGUUCCGGUGCCGAAAGGCGUGCGGGUUCGAGUCCCGCCUCGUGCA